ensembl:snRNA U6 U6 spliceosomal RNA
GUGCUUGUUUCGGCAGCACAUGUACUAAAAUUGGAACGAUACAGAGAUUAGUAUAGCCCCUGCACAAGGAUGAUAUGCAGAUUCGUGGAGCAUUCCAUAUUCUU